UACAGAGGUCCCAAGCGUUGUUCGGAUUCACUGGGCGUAAAGGGUGCGUAGGCGGUCGGGUAAGUCUGAUGUGAAAUCUCACAGCUUAACUGUGAAACUGCAUUGGAUACUAUCCGGCUCGAGGAAUGGAGGGGAGACUGGAAUACUUGGUGUAGCAGUGAAAUGCGUAGAUAUCAAGUGGAACACCGGUGGCGAAGGCGGGUCUCUGGGCCGUUACUGACGCUGAGGAGCGAAAGCGUGGGGAGCGAACAGG
rnacentral:rRNA from 1 species